rnacentral:rRNA from 1 species
AGUGGGGAAUUUUGGACAAUGGGCGCAAGCCUGAUCCAGCCAUGCCGCGUGCGGGAAGAAGGCCUUCGGGUUGUAAACCGCUUUUGGCAGGAACGAAACGGCGCGAGUGAAUACCUCGCGCUAAUGACGGUACCUGCAGAAUAAGCACCGGCUAACUACGUGCCAGCAGCCGCGGUAAUACGUAGGGUGCGAGCGUUAAUCGGAAUUACUGGGCGUAAAGCGUACGCAGGCGGCCUUGCAAGACAGGUGUGAAAUCCCCGGGCCUAACCUGGGAACUGCAUUUGUGACUGCAUGGCUAGAGUUUGUCAGAGGGGGGUGGAAUUCCACGUGUAGCAGUGAAAUGCGUAGAGAUGUGGAAGAACACCGAUGGCGAAGGCAGCCCCCUGGGAUGUGACUGACGCUCAUGUACGAAAGCGUGGGGAGCAAA